UUUGACGGCCAAAGCGGCGGGGUCACGCCUGGUCUCAUCCGAACCCAGAAGCUAAGCCCGCCCGCGUACGCUGUUGUACUGUGGUGCGCGAGCCCACGGGAAGCUUCGCACGCUGUCAGCC
rnacentral:rRNA from 1 species